CUUGCAGUAAAAAAUGUACAGCCUCAAACUGCUACGCUCUGUACCUUAUAAACCUACGAAACAUGGCCAUCAUCUCUAUUCCACUAAUCAACAUAAACCUUUAUUACUUGAAUCAUUAAUUAGCACUCCACCUUCUAGCGAUAAACGUACCAGGCUUGAGGCACUUUUUUGGGCAGACCCUAUACCAUCAAGUAACUGCAUAAACUCAAUUCAACAUCUAAGUGAUAAAACUUCUGUCCUGUCUACUAGUGAUAUCAUUAUGGCCUACCCCAAUCCAUUUUCCAAAUCUCUUUAUGAUAACAAAAAAAAAACGAAUUAAAUUCUAUACUGAUGAAUAUUUAAUUAAGCUCAAAAUGGUUCUCAUUGCUCCGUUCAGACGAUAAUAGCUAUGGCAUAUUAUAAUUAUUACCCAUUGAUUACCUUUUCUCAAAGCAAAUGCUUAAAGGGCUUUCAAAAAAUAAACUCAGUAUUUCUGAA